GUGGCGCAUGCCUGUAGUCCCAGUUACUCGGGAGGCUGAGGUGGGAGGAUUGCUUGACCCAGGAAGUUGAGGCUGCAGUAGGCUGUAAUCAUAACACUGCACUCCAGCCUAAGCAACAGAAGAGAUCCUGUCUCAAAAUAUAAAAUACAUAAAAUAAAGCACAGUAUAAUAGCAUUUUAUGAGCAUUUUAAAUAUUCAAGGUAUUUUAUCAAAUGUUAAAUACUGAUAAAUUCUCAUUUUUGUCUCAGCUCUCCUGACUUUUAAAAUGUAUACCAAAAAAAAGUCAUUUUGAAGCUGUCCAGUUAAGUGAGCUGUAAACUGGAUUUACAAUAUUGCCAAACCUGGUGAGCAGGAAGUACAGGAUCGUUUUGAAUUCAGCAGAUUUUGAAUAAUGCCAGAUCAGGAGUGGAUCUCUGGGGUAAGAUGCAAUGGUCCCACACACUUAUAUGUCACCAGAGUCCACUCUUUGGGGAACAGCAAUUUGACGGAACAUGUCAAGAGCUUGUGAAAAUAAGUAAUUCACAUUCGACCUGUUACCCAGAAAAAAACCGGGGUUCAUUCACCUGGUGAAUCUCAAACGGCUCUCCACGAGAACGCAGGUUUGGAUCAGUAGGAGUUUUAUGACUCGCCACAGUCCUUGGAGGGACUCUCUGGAAUUUCCUUAUCUGACCUAGAAAGUGUCUUGCCAAAAGAAACACAUUUGCCUUCUGUCCGUCUGAUACCCCAUUAUCCACUGCAGAAAAGAAGCCGGAAGAAAAGAAGUCAGAAGUCCAACCACAGCUGGAUGGACUUUUCCACAACAUAAUGUCUGCCUCUCAGACUCAUUCCAUUCACAAGUUGAUUUCUGUCUCCCUGAUCCAUUCAUUCUCCUUAAUAAUCAUUUACUGCUCCUCAAAACAAUGCUCUAUGUUUCCCAUCUCCUCGCUCCCCUGGGAAAAAGAGUACAUAAGCUUCUGUACCCCAUUGGGGGAUUGGGGUAAUCACACUGUAAUUCUCUCCCAUGAAUGUUAAUAAAUGUGUAUCCUUUUUCUCCUACUAAUCUGCCUUUUGUCAGGUGAUUUUCAGUGAACCUUCAGAAGGAAAAGGGGAAGUUUUCCCUUCACCCAUAUGCAGGCAUGUAAAGAUGUUCAUUGCAGUGCUGUUUAUAGCAGAGAAAAUGGCAAACACAAUCAAACAAUAGGGGGAUAGUUAAGAAAAAAAUGCACAGUUGCAGUUAGACUGGUCUCUACCGGCAGGGAGGUUUUUUUUCACCCUUUUUGAUUCUCACAGCAGCCCUAUGAUGUAGACAAAACCGGGUUCACAUUUAUUCUCCCCAUUAUUCAUGGGGGUGGGGGCCAGGAUGCAGACUGAGUUUUGAGAAAUUCUGGGCAGAGCUUCCAACAGGGAAUCAGAUUCUGAACUGGGACAGCUCCCAGGUGUCCUAAAGCGGAAUCCAGAGCUGACUCACAGCAGCGUGUGUCUGACAGGGGGAUCCAGCGGCAAGUCCCUACUCUUGGAUAAAGAUGAAACCACCUUUGCGAAAAUUAUGACAGAGGCCGGGCACGGUGGCUCACACCUGUUAUCCCAGCACUUUGGGAGGCCAAGGCAG
rnacentral:lncRNA from 10 species